AUUGAACGCUGGCGGCAGGCCUAACACAUGCAAGUCGAACGAGACGCGGACGGGUGUGUAUUGUCUGGGAAACUGCCCGCUGGAGGGCGAUAACUACCGGAAACGGUAGCUAAUACCGCAUACCAGCGGAUGUGCCGAGAUGGGUUUGGCUAGGUGGUUGGGUAAAGGAUCACCUAGGCGACGAUCCCUAGCUGGUCUGAGAGGAAGACCAGCCACACGGGAACGGAGACACGGUCCGGACUCCUACGGGAGGCAGCAGUGGGGAAUAUUGCACAAUUGGCGCAAGCCUGAUGCAGCCAGGCCGCGUGUAUGAAGAAGGCCUUCGGGUUGUAAAGUACUUUCAGCGGGGAGGCGUUACCCGCAGAAGAAGCACCGGCUAACUCCGUGCCAGCAGCCGCGGUAAUAC
rnacentral:rRNA from 1 species